GUCAUUUGCUGGUCCUUAGUUCCCUGCUUAAUAUACAUUCUGCAGCCUGCUGCUUUCUUUGGGGCCCAACUCAUUAGAGAGCAGGAGGAUAUAAUCUAGAGAUAGCCAAAGACCAGACAAAAAUCAAAUCAAACAACACACCCAGAGAAGAAUGGAGAGAUUGGCAUCCUACAAUGACAGCAGGCAGGAAAAAAGAGCAUAAAUUCAGCAAUGGAAACAGAGAAA
rnacentral:lncRNA from 1 species